rnacentral:rRNA from 1 species
GAUUCGUCACACUAUCAUUAACUGAAUCCAUAGGUUAAUGAGGCGAACCGGGGGAACUGAAACAUCUAAGUACCCCGAGGAAAAGAAAUCAACCGAGAUUCCCCCAGUAGCGGCGAGCGAACGGGGAGGAGCCCAGAGCCUGAAUCAGCAUGUGUGUUAGUGGAAGCGUCUGGAAAGGCGCGCGAUACAGGGUGACAGCCCCGUACACAAAAGCGCAUGUGCUGUGAGCUCGAUGAGUAGGGCGGGACACGUGGUAUCCUGUCUGAAUAUGGGGGGACCAUCCUCCAAGGCUAAAUACUCCUGACUGACCGAUAGUGAACCAGUACCGUGAGGGAAAGGCGAAAAGAACCCCGGCGAGGGGAGUGAAAAAGAACCUGAAACCGUGUACGUACAAGCAGUGGGAGCACAGGUUUACCUGUGUGACUGCGUACCUUUUGUAUAAUGGGUCAGCGACUUAUAUUCUGUAGCAAGGUUAACCGUAUAGGGGAGCCGGAGGGAAACCGAGUCUUAAUUGGGCGUUAAGUUGCAGGGUAUAGACCCGAAACCCGGUGAUCUAGCCAUGGGCAGGUUGAAGGUUGGGUAACACUAACUGGAGGACCGAACCGACUAAUGUUGAAAAAUUAGCGGAUGACCUGUGGCUGGGGGUGAAAGGCCAAUCAAACCGGGAGAUAGCUGGUUCUCCCCGAAAGCUAUUUAGGUAGCGCCUCGUGAAUUCAUCUCCGGGGGUAGAGCACUGUUUCGGCUAGGGGGCCAUCCCGGCUUACCAACCCGAUGCAAACUGCGAAUACCGGAGAAUGUUAUCACGGGAGACACACGGCGGGUGCUAACGUCCGUCGUGAAGAGGGAAACAACCCAGACCGCCAGCUAAGGUCCCAAAGUCAUGGUUAAGUGGGAAACGAUGUGGGAAGGCCCAGACAGCCAGGAUGUUGGCUUAGAAGCAGCCAUCAUUUAAAGAAAGCGUAAUAGCUCACUGGUCGAGUCGGCCUGCGCGGAAGAUGUAACGGGGCUAAACCAUGCACCGAAGCUGCGGCAGCGAACGUAUCACCCAAGACAACUUUACGGAGUUGACGAUUGACGGAGCGAAGCGACGUCAAAGCGUUCAUUAAAGUCGAGUUGGCUUAGGGAUACGUUCGUUGGGUAGGGGAGCGUUCUGUAAGCCUGUGAAGGUGUGUCGUGAGGCAUGCUGGAGGUAUCAGAAGUGCGAAUGCUGACAUAAGUAACGAUAAAGCGGGUGAAAAGCCCGCUCGCCGGAAGACCAAGGGUUCCUGUCCAACGUUAAUCGGGGCAGGGUGAGUCGACCCCUAAGGCGAGGCCGAAAGGCGUAGUCGAUGGGAAACGGGUUAAUAUUCCCGUACUUGGUGUUACUGCGAAGGGGGGACGGAGAAGGCUAUGUUGGCCGGGCGACGGUUGUCCCGGUUUAAGCGUGUAGGUGUGUGUUCCAGGUAAAUCCGGUUCACUUUAACACUGAGGCGUGACGACGAGGCACUACGGUGCU